rnacentral:rRNA from 1 species
GAUGAACGCUGGCGGCGUGCCUAAUACAUGCAAGUCGAGCGAACAGAUGAGGGGCUGGCUCCUCGGACGUGAGCGGCGGGCGGGUGAGUAACACGUGGAUAACCUACCUAUAAGACGGGUAUAAGUUCGAGAAGCCGGAGCUAAUACGGGAUAAGAUGUGAAAGCGCAUGGUGCAGUAGGAAAGGACGUUGGUGCGGGCAGUGAUAGAGGGAUCCGCGCCGUAUUAGGUAGUUGUGAAGGUAACGGCCUACGAAGGCAACGAUGCGUAGCCGACCUGAGCGGGUGAUAGCCCACCUUAGAGCUGAGCCACGCUCCCGGCUACUAAGGGAGGCCGCAGUCGCGAACGUUACGCAAUGGGCGAAAGUAUGACGGAGCAAGCCAGAGUGAGUGACGACGGUCUCCGGAUCGUAACAACCUGUUACUAGGGAAGAACCACUGUGUACGUAAAUAUGCCCGUCUUGACGGUACCUACUCAGAAAGCCCCGGCUAACUACGUG